GACGUAGGGUGCAAGCGUUGUCCGGAUUUACUGGGCGUAAAGGGCGCGUAGGCGGCGCAACAAGUCACUUGUGAAAUCUCCGGGCUUAACCCGGAGCGGCCAAGUGAUACUGUCGUGCUAGAGUGCGGAAGGGGCUACUGGAAUUCUCGGUGUAGCGGUGAAAUGCGUAGAUAUCGAGAGGAACACCUGCGGCGAAGGCGGGUAGCUGGGCCGACACUGACGCUGAGGCGCGAAAGCCAGGGGAGCGAACGGG
rnacentral:rRNA from 1 species